CAGUGGUGCGAUCUCGGCUCACUGCAAGCUCCGCCUCCCAGGUUCACGCCAUUCUCCUGCCUCAGCCUCCCAAGUAGCUGGGACUACAGGGGCCCACCACCAUGCCUGGCUAAUUUUUUUUUAUUUUUAGUAGAGAUGGGGUUUCACUGUGUUAGCCAGGAUGGUCUCAAUCUCCCGACCUCGUGAUCUUCCCGCCUUGGCCUCCCAAAGUGCUGGGAUUACAGGCGUGAGCCACUGCACCAGGCCUAUAUUCCUAAUUAUUAUUACUUGACUGCCUCUCUAGGGAUAGUUUCUUACUUCCUUCAACACCAAUGACGAGGGCAGGAAUUUUAGUCUGCCUUGUUUACUAAUGACUCUCUAGAGACUAGAACAGUUUCUGGCACAUAGUAGGCUGUCAAUAAAUUUUGGCUGAAAGAAUGAAUGGAAGUUGGUAUGGCAAUUCUGAAUUUUUCAAUGCCAAACUCAUUUACUACAAAUUUGCUGACUAAAGAAGAAAGGCAACUCUUUGUCUAUUUUAACCUCUGGUCAUCUCAGCAAUCUCUUAGCUUCAAAAUUUCUUUUCUCCAGAGCACCUUCCUUGACCUCUUCAAAUAGGUUAGUUGCCCUUGAUAUAGGAUCCAAAUAUAUACUGCAUUCCCUUGACAUGGCAAUUUUCACACAUUAUUUUAAUGAUUUGUUUAGUUGCCUCUUUUCCUGGCUACAUUGUAAUCUCUAUAAGGGCAAGAUCUGUGUUUUGCUCACCACUGUGACUAUAGGCUCAGCACUGAACUGGGCAUGAAGAGGUCUGUUUGUGGAUAAUUGUUUAAUAAAUGAUUGAAAGAGGAUACUCCUUUCAACUUACUUUUCUACUUGUUAUUUACACGGAACUUUCACAUUCCCUAGGCUGAAGCGGGAGAGUGGUUUGAGCUGGGGAGGCAAAGGUUGCAGUGAGCUGAGAUUGUGCCACUGCAGUCCAGCCUGGGUGACAGAGUGGGAUCCCCACCUCAAUAAAUAAAUAAAUAAAUAAAAUUAAAAAAACCCCUCAUUCUGUAUUAGUUAUCUAUUGCAGCAUAAUAAAUUACUUCAAAAGCCAGUGACUUAUUAACUCUUAAAAUGUCUGUGUACUCUGGUUCAGGGUCUUCCAUGAGGUUAGAGUCAGAUGUUAGUGAGGACUGCAGUCAUCUGAAGGCUUGGUGGAGGCUGGAGGAUCCACUUCCAAGAUGAUGCACUCCCAUGACUGUUGUUGGGGGGCCUCAAUUUCUUUCCACACGAGCCCCUUCACAGGACUGCUGGAGUUCUUGAUGACAUGGUGUCUGGCUUCACCUAGAAUGAGUGAUGUAACUGAACAUGGUGGUACUGCAAUGCCUCCCGUGAUUCUUCUUGGAAGUCACACACCAUCAUAUCCUAUGGGUCACAUAGACCAAUGCUGAUUCAGUGUGAGGGGAAAGUUUACAAGGACAUGGAUGACAGGAGGCAGGGAUCAUUGGGGUCCCUAGUACAGACUGGUUAUCACACAUACCAUUUUAUAUCUCCUCUUCCCAUCAAGCCUGUGAGAUACUACCCUUAUUUUACAGAUGAGAAAACUGAGGCUGUCAGUGAAUUGCCUAAGGUCUUAACCUGUACUUAAACAAAGUUUUUUCCUUCCAAGUUAAGUGUACUUUCCAAUAUAUCAUAACUGUAUGACUAACUGAAUAAAUUAUAUAUAGCUUCGAUAAACCCAAGAUAUAAAAAUUGAAAUGCCAAAUUAGAAAAAUUAUUUGUAUUAUAAAAGAAUCAACCAUGUCAUAGGAUUACUUAAAUGGCAUAAGCAAACUGACUAACUUUAUCAAAAUGAGUUUUAACAUGAAUUUUGGAGACACAUGUAUUGGGUAAUGGGAAAUGUACAUUUGAAAAUGUGUGUGUGUUGGAAACAAUCAUACUAGAUUGUAAACUUCUUGAAGGCAGGAAUAGAGACAGUCUUAUCUCCAACACCAAGCCUGGGAUCUAGUACAGAGGAAACUCAAUUGAAGUUUAUUAAAUAAAUGAAUGAUUAUGAAAAAAUAUCUGUAGCUACAGUAUAUUAAAAAGAUUUUUGUAUAUGAGAAUGUGACAUUUUUAGAAUAUGUUUUAUGCUUAUUUCAUAAGUAAUGGACCUACUGAGUUUUAUGUUACUACAUUACCUAAAACUUAUUUAGAUUUUAGUACUGGCCUGACAUAACAUGUUUUAAAAUUUUGCAUCCCUGUUGAGUUGCAAGGCUGAAAAGCUAACAAAUGUUUAAAUGAAAACAAAGGAAAAGGCAAGAAGAAUAAUCUCAUCUAAAGAAGGGAUAAAAGACCUGUUUUUCAGAACAUGUAGGCAAAUGGAACAGUGUUUAUUUUUAGACUCAAUUAACCAACCAGACUAAUAUUCUAAACAUGAAUAAUUUUUUUCCAUUAAAAAAGUACUGAAGAAUUAAAAAAAAAUAAAAAGUUUAAAAAAAUGCAUCACACUCCAAUUGGGCUGAGGAGUUAAGGAGGUUUUAUCUGAUAUUUUUUAAAUAGCCAGGGGACCUAAUGUUUUCUGAUUUGAACACUAUUGCUAUUUGUCAAUAUUUUCUAAGAGAAGGUGAACAGACAUGCCUCUUUGAAAUGAUUCCUUAUCAACUCUUGUCUGCAAAAUUAGUGGAUCAUCAGGCUUACAUUAGUAUGGUUGUUAGUAUAAGCUCACAUAGGGGAUCAAAUUAUGGCAGGACAUAGAUAAAAAAGUUAAAGCAAGAUCUCUGCUAAAUGACUACAGUUGAGGACAAGAAGGUUAGCAUUAGGAUCCUGAUCACAUUGAUGGGGUGCGAAUAUUUUAUACCUUGAUGUGGUUUACUUUUGCGAUGGUGGUAAUGCGAGAUGAGUUCUGUCUACACUAGUUCAGGUAGUGUAGAUGGACAUUUGCAAGAGUAAAUUUCUCAGCUAAGUUUUCUGCAUGGAUUUGGUGUUUGUAUUUCUUCUGCUCAAUUAGUCUUGUUAGGGGGUCUGAAAGUUGAAGCAUGUACAAGAAAAAUGGUAAACACCACAUGAGACUCAGCCCUCCUUCCCCAUGGCAGACUUUUGUCACUGAGUUAUUGGUUUGAGUUUGCAAAAGAGCAAGAGAUUGGCAAAAUUAGGAGACCUCAUAAUUAUCAACUGUAAGAGGAGAACUCUAUAAAUAACAAUGAAUAGAAAUGUACCCUGAUAAAUCAAUAACUUUCUUGGUAUUAACUGAAGAUGGUAAAUUGGACUCCCCUGAGAGGAACUGUAAGGAAAACACUUGCUUUUGAUGUAAGUUGUUGAGGAUGAUCAUUUAAUGUUUUGAAUAUAAUAGGAACAUAAUAAGAAUUUACAAAAAUUUACUUAAAAACCUUAAACCAAAAACAUUUAACAGAUUGGUUCCUGUUUUAUGUAAAAUUUACCCAUGAAAGAUUAAAACUAGAAAGAACCAUUGAUACCACUUAUUCCAAUCUUCUCCCCAUUUUACAGCUGUAAAAACUAAGGCUCAGAGUAGUGAAUGAAUUCACAUAAGUUCACAAAGCUCAUAACUGGUAGCAGUGGAGCUGGUGAAAUUGCUGCAGCCUUUGUUGGCCUUCCCACUCAUAUCACCACAGCCUCUGUAAUGAGGGCACGGAAAAUAAGCUGCCAUGUUGAGAGUUGCCUGUGGAGAGGGUCACUUGCCAAGGAACCUAUCUGGAUGACAAACAGAUGAGGACUCAGUUCCAUAGUGUUCAGUCUAAGGAACUUAGUGCUGUUAACAACUGUGUGAACUUGGAAGUGAAUCCUUCUCCAGUUGAGCCUCAGAUGAGACCCCAGCCCUGACAGUCCCUUGAUGGCAGCCUUAUAGAGGAUCCAGCUAAGCCAUGAAAGAAGAGUCUUUGCCUCCCGCCAUGAUUCUGAGGCCUCCCCGGCCAUGUGGAACUGCAAGUCCAAUUAAACCUUUUUUUGUUCCCAGUUUGGGUAUGUGUUUAUCAGCAGCAUGAAAAUGAACUAAUACAUAUAUCUAAAAUAAUAAUAAUAAUAAUAAUGAUGAUGAAAAAAGUGGAAUAUAAGUGGAUAUAAAUAUAAUUUGCAAUAGCCCACAGAUGUGGCUCUGGGUGCACUGUGUAUGAGUCACCCCUGCUCCACAGGAGCAGCUCCAGUUCAAUAAAAGAUUGCUGUCUAACUCCACUGUCUCACCCUUGAAUUCCUUCCUGGGCAAAGCCAAGAACCCUCCCGGACUA